rnacentral:rRNA from 1 species
AUUGAACGCUGGCGGCAGGCCUAACACAUGCAAGUCGAGCGAGCGGCGGACGGGUGAGUAAUGUCUGGGAAACUGCCUGAUGGAGGGGGAUAACUACUGGAAACGGUAGCUAAUACCGCAUACCAUCAGAUGUGCCCAGAUGGGAUUAGAUAGUAGGUGGGGUAACGGCUCACCUAGGCGACGAUCCCUAGCUUGUCUGAGAGGAUGACCAGCCACACUGGAAAAGAGACAAGGUACAGACUCCUACGGGAGGCAGCAGUGUGGAAUAUUGCACAAUGGGCGCAAGCCUGAAGCAGUCAUGCGGCGUGUGUGAAGAAGGCCAUCGGGUUGUAGAGCUCUUGCAGCGGUGAGGCGUUACCCGCAUAAGAAGCAGCGGCUAACUCCGUGCCAGCAGCCGGGGUAAUAC